rnacentral:rRNA from 1 species
CAGCAGCCGCGGUAAUACCGGCGGCCCGAGUGGCGGCCACUAUUAUUGGGCUUAAAGCGUCCGUAGCCGGGUUGGUUAGUCUCCCGGGAAAUCUGGCCGCUUAACGAUCAGACUUCCGGAGGAUACUGCUGGCCUAGGGACCGGGAGAGGCCGAGGGUAUUCCCGGGGUAGGGGUGAAAUCCUGUAAUCCCGGGAGGACCACCUGUGGCGAAGGCGCUCGGCUGGAACGGGUCCGACGGUGAGGGACGAAGGCCAGGGGAGCGAACCGGAUUAGAUACCCGGGUAGUCCUGGCUGUAAACGAUGCGGACUAGGUGUCGGGCAAGCUAAGGGCUUGUCCGGUGCCGCAGGGAAGCCGUUAAGUCCGCCGCCUGGGGAGUACGGCCGCAAGGCUGAAACUUAAAGGAAUUGGCGGG